UGGCGCACGGCNUGAGNUAACACGUGGGAACCCGCCCUCCGGNUGGGGGAUAACGCGACGAAAGNUCGCGCUAAUCCCGCAUACGUCCGCAAGGGGAAAGCGCUUCGGCGCGCCGGAGGAGGGGCCUGCGGCCCGUCAGGUGGUUGGUGGGGUAACGGCCUACCAAGCCGAUGACGGGUAGCUGGUCUGGGAGGAUGACCAGCCAGACUGGGACUGAGACACGGCCCAGACUCCUACGGGAGGCAGCAGCAAGGAAUUUUCGGCAAUGGGCGCAAGCCUGACCGAGCAACGCCGCGUGCGGGAUGACGGCCUUCGGGUUGUAAACCGCUUUUCGGGGGGACGACUACGACGGUACCCCCGGAAGAAGCCCCGGCUAACUCUGUGCCAGCAGCCGCGGUAAGACAGAGGGGGCGAGCGUUGUCCGGAGUUACUGGGCGUAAAGCGCGCGCAGGCGGUGGUCUCAGUGUCGUGUGAAAGCCCCCGGCUCAACCGGGGGAGGUCAUGGCAAACUAGAC
rnacentral:rRNA from 1 species